rnacentral:snoRNA from 1 species
GUGCAGGAUAAGUUAUGGAUCAGCUUAUGUGGUGCUGGUUUGUCGUUCCCCCCUGCAAAAAUAUAAAUCUUCUUUACUAUCCCUGACUGUCUACAUCCCAGAACUUUCAGGGAUGCUUGGAUUCAAACAU